GAUGAACGCUGGCGGCGUGCCUAAUACAUGCAAGUCGAGCGAACGGACGAGAAGCUUGCUUCUCUGAUGUUAGCGGCGGACGGGCGAGUAACACGUGGAUAACCUACCUAUAAGACUGGGAUAAUUUCGGGAAACCGGAGCUAAUACCGGAUAAUAUUUUGAACCGCGUGGUUCAAAAGUGAAAGACGGUCUUGCUGUCACUUAUAGAUGGAUCCGCGCUGCAUUAGCUAGUUGGUAAGGUAACGGCUUACCAAGGCAACGAUGCAUAGCCGACCUGAGAGGGUGAUCGGCCACACUGGAACUGAGACACGGUCCAGACUCCUACGGGAGGCAGCAGUAGGGAAUCUUCCGCAAUGGGCGAAAGCCUGACGGAGCAACGCCGCGUGAGUGAUGAAGGUCUUCGGAUCGUAAAACUCUGUUAUUAGGGAAGAACAUAUGUGUAAGUAACUGUGCACAUCUUGACGGUACCUAAUCAGAAAGCCACGGCUAACUACGUG
rnacentral:rRNA from 1 species